UACGAGGGAUGCAAGCGUUAUCCGGAAUUAUUGGGCGUAAAGCGUUUGUAGGCGGGCGAGUGUGUUUAAUGUUAAAUCUUAAAGCUCAACUUUGAAAUUGCGUUAAAAACUGCUUGUCUUGAGUAUGGUAGGGGUAAAGGGAAUUCCCAGUGUAGCGGUGAAAUGCGUAGAUAUUGGGAAGAACACUAAACAGCGAAGGCACUUUACUAGGCUAAUACUGACGCUGAGAAACGAAAGGUAAGGUAGCGAAACGGAUUAGAUACCCGUGUAGUCUUACCCGUAAACUAUGGACACUAAACGGUAAAUUUUUAAUUUACUGUUAAAGCUAACGCGUUAAGUGUCCCGCCUGGGGAGUAUGCUUGCAAAAGUGAAACUCAAAGGAAUUGACGGGGGCCCGCACAAGCGGUGGAGCAUGUGGUUUAAUUCGACGGUACACGAAGAACCUUACCAGGAUUUGACAUGCUAGAUAGUUGCUUGAAAGAGUAACGUGCCGUAAGGAAUCUAGACACAGGUGGUGCAUGGCUGUCGUCAGUUCGUGUUGUGAAAUGUUGGGUUAAGUCCCGCAACGAACGCAACCCUUGUCUUUAGUUAUUUUCUAAAGAGACUGCCUGUAAUAAACAGGAGGAAGGUAAGGAUGAGGUCAAGUCAUCAUGCCCCUUAUGUCCUGGGCUACACACGUGCUACAAUGGGAAAGACAAUGAGCUGCAAAUCUGUAAAUUUAAGCAAAUCUCUUAAACUUUCUCGUAGUUCGGAUUGUGGGCUGCAACUCGCCCACAUGAAGUUGGAAUCGCUAGUAAUUGCCAGUCAGCUAUAUGGCGGUGAAUCCGUUCCCGGGCCU
rnacentral:rRNA from 1 species